rnacentral:misc_RNA from 1 species
UGGUUCUGGCAUCGAUGAAGAACGCAGCGAAAUGCGAUAAGUAGUGUGAAUUGCAGAAUUCAGUGAAUCAUCGAAUCUUUGAACGCACAUUGCGCCCCUUGGUAUUCCAUGGGGCAUGCUUGUUCGAGCGUCAUUUGUACCUUCAAGCUUUGCUUGGUGUUGGGCGUUUGUCCGCCUUGUGGACUCGCCUUGAAUCUAUUGGCAGCCUGUAAUCGGGUGAUAGAGCGCAGCACAAUGCGACCUUAUCCUGUUAACAGGCGACCAUCAAGCCUACCGUUUCACGUUUGACCUCGGAUCAAGUAGGGAUACCCGCUGA